GAUGAACGCUGGCGGCGUGCCUAAUACAUGCAAGUCGAGCGAACAGACGAGGAUCUUGCUCCUCUGACGUUAGCGGCGGACGGGUGAGUAACACGUGGAUAACCUACCUAUAAGACUGGUAUAACUUCGGGAAACCGGAUCUAAUACCGGAUAAUAUAUUGAACCGCAUGGUUCAAUAGUGAAAGACGGUUUUGCUGUCACUUAUAGAUGGAUCCGCGCCGCAUUAGCUAGUUGUUAAGUUAACGGCUUACCAAGGCAACGAUGCGUAGCCGACCUGAGAGGGUGAUCGGCCACACUGGAACUGAGACACGGUCCAGACUACUACGGGAGGCAGCAGUAGGGAAUCUUCCGCAAUGGGCGAAAGCUUGACGGAGCAACGCCGAGUGAGUGAUGAAGGUCUUCGGAUCGUAAAACUCUGUUAUUAGGGAAGAACAAAUGUGUAAGUAACUAUGCACGUCUUGACGGUAACUAAUAAGAAAGCCACGGCUAACUACGUG
rnacentral:rRNA from 1 species